UAGAACCCAUGUGAGAAAACCAGUCAGUAACCCUGAAGAGCAGGAGACAAGACCAGCCAUGGGUGCACCUACAGCACGGCUUGAGUUAAAUGGGACCGUGAAAACUGGUGCAAGUCCCAGGACAUUCCCAGCUCUUCAGGGCGUGGGGCCUGUAAAUCUGUCCCUGGUGAGGCACACCAUCUGGGCAGGAUGUGGAUUACCUAAGCCAGCCAGAGGGAAAAGAGGCUUCAGAGCCAAGACACACCUGAGCAACACGUAGCUGGGCUGAGCUAUCCUCACCUGGCCUCGUCCCUCCUUCACUUGCUCUCCCUUUCUGGAAUGACAGCGCAAGACACUGCCUCCAUCUCGGCAACCUAUGCCAAGAAGCUUUUAUUUUUAAAUCCACAAACAAUGACCUAGCAGCUGCUCCGAGG
rnacentral:lncRNA from 1 species